rnacentral:lncRNA from 1 species
CUAUUUCAGAAGCAGCUGUAGCAGUGGAAGUGCUUAAUUCAAGGGCAGAUGAUUUUUCAGGCUCAUUUUCAGAAGGAAUAGUAGAUGAUGCAUAAAGGGAGUCUUCAUGAGAAGAUGCGGUGGCAUCUUUUGGAUCGGAAGAUACUUUUCCAGGGAAGUCUUCUAGCGUUGUUGGUGUCUGGUUCUUUGACUCCUGUGCAAGCAAGGCUCUGGCUUUUAUUAUCUGCUUGUCAUGACAGUAAUGGAGGUCAACAACCUUGUCA